rnacentral:rRNA from 1 species
UACGUAGGGACCAAGCGUUGUUCGGAUUUACUGGGCGUAAAGGGCGCGUAGGCGGCAAUUCAAGUCAUCUGUGAAAUCUCCGGGCUUAACUCGGAACGGUCAGAUGAUACUGCUUUGCUAGAGUGCGGGAGGGGCAAUCGGAAUUCUUGGUGUAGCGGUGAAAUGCGUAGAUAUCAAGAGGAACACCUGAGGUGAAGACGGGUUGCUGGGCCGACACUGACGCUGAGUGCGCGAAAGCCAGGGGAGCAAACGGG